rnacentral:rRNA from 1 species
CUACGGGACGCAGCAGCGAGGAAUAUUGCACAAUGGAGGAAACUCUGAUGCAGCAACGCCGCGUGGAGGAUGACGCAUUUCGGUGUGUAAACUCCUUUUAUAUGUCAAGAAAAUGACGGUAGCAUAUGAAUAAGCACCGGCUAACUCCGUGCCAGCAGCCGCGGUAAUACGGAGGGUGCAAGCGUUACUCGGAAUCACUGGGCGUAAAGGACGCGUAGGCGGGAUAUCAAGUCAGGUGUGAAAUCCUACAGCUUAACUGUAGAACUGCACUUGAAACUGGUAACCUAGAGUAUGGGAGGGGGAGAUGGAAUUAGUGGUGUAGGGGUAACAUCCGUAGAUAUCACUAGGAAUACCUAAAGCGAAGGCGAUCUCCUGGAACAUAACUGACGCUAAGGCGUGAAAGCGUGGGGAGCAAACAGGAUUAGAUACCCGCGUAGUC